ensembl:lncRNA
AGAGGUCAGCAUAUAUAUCAACUCAUGGGAAAACUGAUCCCAGUUGUUACAUGGCAAGGGUAGCUGAAAGGUUUCUAAUGAGCUACAGGGAGGGGAUGGUGGCAAUCAGCCAGCACACUUGCCUGCGAAACCACCAUCAACGGGCACGCACUGCUACCUCUGGAGCAACGAAAAGUUAGAAGUGAAGAUUUGUAUUUCACUGUGCCACUUGUUGCUUACAGUUCUCACACUGACUCUGCAGAGUGUGUGAAAUCACACGCCAACACUCAGCACAAGUCACCCCACAUGCAAACGUAGGAGCAGUCUUUACCGGAGUCAUCCAAUGCAUACAAGUAAAGCACAAAUCCUGCUGUAUAGAGUCAUAUAGAGUACUUUAGGUUGGAAGGGGCCUUAAAGAACAUUGAGUUCCAACCCCUGCCGUGGGCAGGGCUGCCCCCCACCAGCUCAGGCUGCCCAGGGCCCCAUCCAACCUGGCCUUGAGUGCCUCCAGGGAUGGGGCACCACAGCUUCUCUGGACAGCUGUGCCAGCGCCUCACCGCCCUCCAAGGAAAGGAUUUCUGUAUAACAUCUAACCUAAAUCUCCCCUCUUGCAGUUUAAAGCUAUACCUCCUUGUCUUAUCAGACUUAAACUGUAAAACAUCGUUCCUCCUUCUGCUUCUAAGUUCCCUUCAAGCACACAGGAUUCCUAUCUAACAAAGAGGCUUACUUCUAGUCAUCUAGCCUCAAGAAAACCUAAGUUGUGAGGCUGCCCUGGAUUCACAGAGAAGCGCAUGCACACAUGUACCCAAGGCUGCUGCAAGCUUCUGCAGCCCCAGAGCCCAGGGAGGGCUCACAGGGUGCAUGAGACUCCCCUGGGGAUGCAGCAGGGCUGACUCAGGGCUGGCUGCAGCCUGCUCGGUCCACAACUGUCAUUGUGGCGCAACAACACUGCAAGAGCUUAAUGCUGUGGGAUUGCUUCCUUUUUCAAUGACUGGGAUCAAGGAGACACAUUUUAUUCAAGAAAUAUAAUCCUAACACCUCCUCUCAUUCUUUUGAAAGAAACCACACAGUAGCUGCUGUCAUCUUCUUGGUACAUUCUGACAUGCUUCCACCACACCACUGCCAAUGGUUUCCCUUUUAUUGGAAAAAAAUCAGUUCAAAAUGAGUGACAAGCUGUACACUGGUGAUGAUGCUGCCAGGUGAUGGACAUCGUAGGUUUACAUUAGUUGUCAACAUUUCUCAACGCUAAAAAUAGGACUCACAAGCUUUUCGUUUCACCACACUGAAGUAUUAAGCAUACAGGACAUUCACGUCUUCAAAGGGGCCCUAAGCUGCCCAAAGCCAGGUAAAGCCCGUGACAUACAGCAAAAGUCUCUGAGCUUUAUUUAUUUUCAGAAGGAAAAAUCAGCACACUGCCAUAUGAAAUUUCAUUACAGCCCUGGCCAAAGUAAAGAUGUUGCUCACGUUACUCACAAUGUGAAAUAAAGCAACACAAUAUGGGAUGCAAACACAAACAAGGGAAGACAGAAAGGCAAGCUUAGAGGAGAAGAGCAAAGAAAAAAAAAAAAAAGGCAUCUUGGAAUCCCAGAUCGUGGUCCAGAACCCACUAAAAGCAAUGGCAGAGAUCUCCCCAGCACAGCAAAUUUCAGCCUAAGGUCUCUGGACACCUCCCUGGCGCCCAUGGAGGGAUGGCUCAGCACUCCUAGGAUGUACAGCUCUCUCCAUCCCAAAACAUUUAAUUGGUUUUCACCUAAGCUCCGAGGAGGCGAACAUAAGCAAUGUGGGAGGGAUGGGAAGGCCCAAGAGAAGCAAGAAGGUUGCUGAAGGCUGACGUUUCUAUACAAGCGAUGACUUCUCCCCCCAAAAGGGACCUGCUGAUGGAAAUAAGCAUUGCAGCAAGCUGUCCAGCAGCAAGGCAUCACUGGUUGCGCAUCUCCACGCCCUGGUAAGAUGGAAGGAGUGGGGCUCCAUCUGCUCUGCAUGCAACACAACUUCUGCACUGAAUGAGACUACUGAAAAGCCCUAGUCACAGCAAUGUCAUUUUCAUAGGUAAGAUGGCAUAGGAGGGGAAAAAGAAACAGAGAUCAUUUACAAACCAAAUCCUGUUUAUUCAUUCCAGCUUGCUUGUUCCAUCUGAGUCACCAAGACGACAGGCAGAGUUGUCCCUGUAUUAGGCCAAUAUUUAUAGCAGAAAGAAAAUGAAGCAUCAUAAGGAAUAACUAAUUAGAUGUUAACAUAACACUGUGUAGAACUGAAGUAGCAUCCCACUGUGCUUUAUAAAUAAUUAGCAAAUUAACUUUCAUAAUACCUCUGUGAGGCAAGUAUUUUACCCAUUCUCUACGUGGCCAAGCAGAGAGCAAGUGGUUUGCUCACGGCCACAGACCUUGAGCAGAGGCAGAGUUAUAGUUGAUGCCCUGGUACUGUCAUUAACACCAGCCCAGUAUAAAGCUCAACAGUACCAAAAUAACUUAAUUAAUUAAAAUGUCACAGCUGGCUCAAACCUACCAAAAUCCACGACGCUGCCUAAUGGCAGCCUCUGCCCCACCUCCAGCAAUGGCUCACCGUGCACACAAGGCCCUGUCAUGAGCUGGGAGAAGGGGGGCAGGAACCCAGGGGGGAAAACCACACCACCCGCAAUAGAUCCAAAGUAAACAACUCUGAGCAGCUUCCCCUUUCCUAGAUCCCCUUUCCAGGCGUAGCCAGGAGGCAAACGGGUAUGAAACUAAAAACAGUGACUGUAAACUUCCACAAACAUAACUGGCAUGACAGGAACCGCCCUCCCAACACAACUUUUUUUUUUAAAUGCCCAUUUAUUGAAUAAAAUCAUCAUCUUUGGUGAUUCCAAACACUUUAAGGAGACUACAACAGCAACAGUGAUGCUGUUUGCACGCUCCUUUUUGCCACCCCUACCUCCAGUCCUCCCUGCAUAGGGGUGAUGGGCACAGCCAAAGCCAAGCCAGCUUCUCAACAACCACUCACUGUCAGGCAGUGGGAAUUGGAAAACCAUGGAAGGGAAGCAGCCGGCAUACAGGAUGGAUGGCAGAACAGACAGUCCCAGAGGUGCCCACAGGCACUUUGCUUCUCUGAGCUCUCCACGACAGUACUCUGAAAUUAAGGGUGCUCUUCCACAGCUGCCCACGCCACCCAAAGCAGGCAACAAGGCCAGCUCAGAAAGCUCCCACCGCUGCCCCAUGGCCCAGCUUUGCCAGUUGUUGCAGAGCAGAUGACGAGGUAGAUGCAGGCUAAAGGCAUUGUUUCUCAUUGUCUGGUGCCUCCCAUGACGUACUCGGAGACCCUCACAGAAAGAAACGGUACAGAAAUGUAAAUGGGUGCUAUUACUUUCUGUCAGAUGCAUGUUAAGAAAGUAGGCAGACCUGCAUCUAUUUUAGACACAAUGCAUAAAAAUAAAAGAUGCUAGCUGACUGUACGUGUUCUCAUUUUUAGAAAACAAGCUCUAUUUCUUUUUUUUUUUUCCUCUUUCCUAUCUUAACAGCCAGAUGGUAAACAAACUCCCCUCAAUGUCACAGCAAAGAAAAGAAACCCCAAUCUGGUGUGAACCUUACCGUAUCUGAGCACACUCCUGACAGUCUUUGCAUAUAGCCUGUCCAAAGCCCUCCGGUGUGAGCAGAGACCUUACCUUCAGACCCUGCUUAGAGGGUAAGCACCGCUGACUUCCACAUGGCAACUCAAAAUUAUCAACAUCACAGCAGGACUCGCCAUCCCCCAAACAUCUCUGAGAUUUCAGAUCAGCCAGUUUUAUGUCUUAGUGCCUUCCCUUUUUCUACCUUUCCCGUUGACUUGUUCGAGCUACUUUAGAGGUCUCCUUCCCCCUUAUAAAACCUCCUAUCAAGUCAUUUAAUUGAAAGGCAAUUUUAUCGGGCAGUAUGUGCUAUUUGUCUAUUCUUCCUUUUUAUACUCACCUUGUUCACUGCAAUGACACAGUAUCAGUAGACAGUAUUACUGUCUACUUGUUUGC